AAACCUAACAUUGUGACACUUGUCCCUUUGCAGCUCCAAAAUUUGUAGAUGAUUAGGUCAUAUUUCUAAGUCUAGAGUUUCAUAGGAUUAGGGAAUUUAUGCAGCUGGAGCUGCUAUAAAAUAUCUCCAGCACAACCCAAAUCUUCCCUGCUAUUGCCAUUCUAUUCCUAUUUCAUUCUCUUGGGGUAUGCGCAAAGCUUGAGUACUAGAGCUACCCUUGCCUUAUUGGUUUUACUAUCAUUGAGUCAUUUUAGCUUAUUACUACCUAUGAUUCUUAUUGUUGGAAAGUAAAGGAGUUGUGUAGCAGAGAAAGCUAAAGCAAAUGAGUAGAUGGGGACCAAAGGCAGGACAAAUUAAUUGCUUUCAGUUUUUGUUCAUUCCAGCUUAUAUUAAAAUAUAUGGUUGGUGGCUUGCAGAUUGCAGAUACAGUACACUUUUUUAAGCAAUCAUUCACCAAUGGGCCACCGUAACUCUUCUCUACUGUACUGCUACCUUCUUUGUAGAAUUUUGACGUUCGUAAGUUCACUCGAACCUACAUUAACCAUUAUAUUAUAAGGAAAAUAUAUUAAGAGUUAAUUGUUAGAUAAUCAUAACUAUAUAAAAAGAAAAGAGAGAUAGGGAGAUAGAAGCAUAUGUGGAAGUUUCUUAUAUCAAACUGUGCAAGUAAUUCUGUUUGCUGUAAUCUAUUCAUUUGUCUUUGAGUAUAUAAUCAACCAAAAAAGAAAAAGAAAAGUUUGUUUUCUGCUUGUAUAUAUUUCAAGGGAUGGAUCAAUAUGAAAAGACUCCAAUGCAAUCGAAGACAUUAA